UUGCUGUGGACGUCUUAUUCUCUCAGUUUUGGGGACUCGAACUCUGGGCAUAACAAAAGGAACCUAAAAACUUGACAAAAUACAUGAAACAAUAGUUUUCAAAGCCUGACUGUGAUCUGUGAAGGAGAGUAAGCAAAGGAAGUGAACCCUAAGAUGCCUCACUCCCACCUGUAGAGGGUUCAGCCGCUGUGCAGUCAACAGGUAUGCAAAUGAUGAACUGUCUCAGAGUAGACUUCCCUCCUUCACCAACUCUACAAGGAACCAGAAUGUUGGUACCAGCAGCAGCCCCUUGUGCCCAUCUGCCUUCUCAGGGAGUGCAGGCAAAUCUGGGUGGAUUCUUUACCAGCUGAGAGCUACCAGGAAGCUCUAAAUGGGAAAUGAGAAGUGUAGUUGCUCAGUCAUGUGCUACUCUUUGUGAUCCCAUGAGCUGUAUAUCUUACCAGGCUC